CCCAAGUCUUGUGCGAUGAAGGCUUCUCAUGGACCGAAAUAGCCACUGAGGGCCUGAGUCAGGCAGUGGCUUUCCCAGUCUCACAGCCAGGACUGGCAUUCAGCCCAGGGGUGAAGAAAGGAAGUGAGGCCUGAAGACCCAGAGGAAGACAGAGCUACAUCUGGAAACCUGAGAGGCCCUCAUGUUUUGUGACCCCAGGCCGGAACCUCGGUUUCCGCAUCCAGAAACACAGUGCAGCUAAGCAGAUAAGAAGGAUUAUAGGAAUAGAUAUCCCAGUUCAUACCCACAGCUGUUCCUUUGGCUUCGGGGAUGGGCAGAAUGGCAACAAUGGGUGGGGGCUGGGUUGGGCAAAGGCUUUGGAGUUUGGCAAUAUUCAAAGACCCAGGUGUUAUUUGGUUUGGCUGGUGCAUUAGAUGAACGUUGGAGGGGGGUGGGUACACCUUCAUUCCUUCCUUUGCUGUGUGCUUUGUUCUUACAACAAGUCCAGCCCUGCCCUGGGGCUCUGUCCUGUAGCACUUAUAGCCUAAAGGGAGUGGGGGCAACACUAAGAAAGUGUCACAGCAACCAUACAGCAGUAAUGGCAUGAAGUCAAAAACAGCCCACUAGUGACGAUUUUAUACAGUUCAGUCUAAUAAAAUUGCAGCUGUAAUAGGGUACUACUAUGAGGAAGACAAGUGGGACUGGAAAACAGUGAAAGGAGAUGCAGGAAAACUGGGAAGGGCCAUGAUAACUACGUUUUGUUCUGUGUUUUCACAGCAGUGGGAACUAAAGUAUUUUAGAAUAGGAGUGGGUUGUGGCAUGAUUAGAUAAAAGGACGGCCACUUUGGAGCAUGAACUGCAGGGGUCAGUGGGGAAGCCAGGAACUAGUUAAGAAGCCACUGCAGGUGUUCUUCCAAAAGUGAUGGAGGAAUGGAGCAGAAGGAGCCCUGAGCAUUGUGCCCAGCCCCAAGGAUAGGAGGCUUGGGGGAAGGGGUUUCAAUCCUGACUCCGAAGACAAGGCCAACCCAAAGGAACAC
rnacentral:lncRNA from 1 species